UUAAGGCUAUAUAUUUUCCUCUUAGGACUGCUUUAGUUGUAUCCUACAAAUUUUAAUGUAUUAUGUUUUCAUUGUAAUGAAAUUUUAA